rnacentral:snRNA from 1 species
GUGCUCGCUUCAGCAGCAUAUAUACUAAAAUUGGAAUAAUAUAGAGAAGAUUAGCAUGGCCCCUGGGCAAGGAUGGCACACAAAUUCAUGAAGCGUUCCAUUUUUUU